AGGACUCCAAACUGUUUGGACCAGGAA
rnacentral:misc_RNA from 1 species